AGAGUUUGAUCCUGGCUCAGGAUGAACGCUGGCGGCGUGCCUAAUACAUGCAAGUCGAACGGGUGUAGCAAUACACUAGUGGCGAACGGGUGAGUAACACGUUGGUGACCUGCCCUAAAGAGGGGAAUACCACUUCGAAAGGAGUGACAAAACCGCAUAAGCUAGUGCUAGUUAGAGAGGCAUUAGUAAAAGAGCAAUCUACCUUAGGAGGGGCCUGCGGCCCAUCAGCUAGUUGGUGAGGUAAAAGCCCACCAAGGCGAAGACGGGUAGGGGACCUGAGAGGGUGAUCCCCCACAAUGGAACUGAAACACGGUCCAUACACCUGCGGGUGGCAGCAGUAGGGAAUAUUGCUUAAUGGGCGAAAGCCUGAAGCAGCAACGCCGCGUGAACGAAGAAGGCCUUCGGGUCGUAAAGUUCUUUUACGUGGGAUGAGGAAGGACAGUACCACGAGAAUAAGUCUCGGCUAACUACGUGCCAGCAGCCGCGGUAAAACGUAGGAGACGAGCGUUAUCCGGAUUUACUGGGCGUAAAGCGCGUGUAGGAGGCGCUACAAGUUGGAUGUGAAAGCUCCCGGCUUAACUGGGAGAGGUCGUUCAAGACUGUAGUGCUAGAGUGAGGCAGAGGUAGAUGGAACUCCGGGAGUAGUGGUGAAAUGCGUAGAUAUCCGGAAGAACACCAGAGGCGAAAGCGAUCUACUGGGCCUAAACUGACACUGAGACGCGAAAGCCAGGGUAGCAAACGGGAUUAGAGACCCCGGUAGUCCUGGCCGUAAACGAUGUAGACUGAGCGUUGGUUGGGUAAAACCAAUCAGUGCUGAAGCAAACGCGAUAAGUCUACCGCCUGGGGAGUACGGUCGCAAGAUUAAAACUCAAAGGAAUUGACGGGGGCCCGCACAAGCAGCGGAGCGUGUGGUUUAAUUCGAUACACGAAGAACCUUACCAGGGUUUGACAUACAAGUGGUAGUGAAGCGAAAGUAGAACGACCCUUCGGGGAGCUUGAACAGGUGCUGCAUGGCUGUCGUCAGCUCGUGUCGUGAGAUGUUCGGUUAAGUCCGCUAACGAGCGCAACCCUUGUUGUGUGUUACACGUAUCACGCAAGACCGCCGGUAGAAAGCCGGAGGAAGGUGGGGAUGACGUCAAGUCAGCAUGGCCUAUAUAUCCUGGGCUACACACACGCUACAAUGGUCGGUACAAUGGGUAGCUAAGCCGCGAGGCGGAGCCAAUCCUAAAAAGCCGGUCUCAGUUCAGAUUGCAGGCUGCAACUCGCCUGCAUGAAGAUGGAGUUGCUAGUAACCGCAGGUCAGCGAUACUGCGGUGAAUACGUUCCCGGGCCUUGUACACACCGCCCGUCACGUCAUGGGAGUUGGCAACACCUGAAGUCGGUAUCCUAACCGAAAGGGGGGAGCCGCCAAAGGUGGGGUCGAUAACUGGGACGAAGUCGAAACAAGGUA
rnacentral:rRNA from 1 species